rnacentral:rRNA from 1 species
GAUGAACGCUGGCGGCGUGCUUAACACAUGCAAGUCGAGCGCGUCUGAUUUGAUGCUUGCAUUGAUGAAAGAUGAGCGGCGGACGGGUGAGUAACGCGUGGGUAACCUGCCCUAUACACAUGGAUAACAUACUGAAAAGUUUACUAAUACAUGAUAAUAUAUAUUUACGGCAUCGUAGAUAUAUCAAAGUGUUAGCGGUAUAGGAUGGACCCGCGUCUGAUUAGCUAGUUGGUGAGAUAACUGCCCACCAAGGCGACGAUCAGUAGCCGACCUGAGAGGGUGAUCGGCCACAUUGGAACUGAGACACGGUCCAAACUCCUACGGGAGGCAGCAGUGGGGAAUAUUGCACAAUGGGCGCAAGCCUGAUGCAGCAACGCCGCGUGAACGAUGAAGGUCUUCGGAUCGUAAAGUUCUGUUGCAGGGGAAGAUAAUGACGGUACCCUGUGAGGAAGCCCCGGCUAACUACGUGCCAGCAGCCGCGGUAAUACGUAGGGGGCUAGCGUUAUCCGGAUUUACUGGGCGUAAAGGGUGCGUAGGUGGUCUUUCAAGUCGGUGGUUAAAGGCUACGGCUCAACCGUAGUUAGCCUCCGAAACUGGAAGACUUGAGUGCAGGAGAGGAAAGUGGAAUUCCUAGUGUAGCGGUGAAAUGCGUAGAUAUUAGGAGGAAUACCGGUGGCGAAGGCGACUUUCUGGACUUUUACUGACGCUCAGGUACGAAAGCGUGGGGAGCAAACAGG